UGCGUUUAGCUAGCUUGGAGUAGAUAAGAAUGUGAACAAGGUACCAGCUGAUUGCGAAAGGAUUGCCACUUGUAGGACAUUUUCUAAGGUCAUUGUUGAGUCUGAUUCACAGUAUAGUUGACAAUUGAUUUGUUGCUUAUAAAGGAUGUCAUGAUCUUAAUCCUUGUGCUAAACCUUAUCAAUUAAGGAGAUUAUAUAUAGCUAAUCAAGGGCUUAUAGCUAGUAGAUGUUCCCAUAUGAUCCUAAUCAAGGGCUUAUAGCUAGUAGAUGACCCACUAUCAUCGCAAGCAUGUAUUUUGGAAGGAGAAUUCAGUUGCGAAUUUCUUCAUGAAGAAUGGGUUAUCACUUCUUACUUCCAUGCGCAUAUAUGAGUUUUUACCUAGCUCUCCAUUUCCUUUUUGUUUGAUUCUUGUGAUUAUGUGAUAUCUACUACUUCUUAUUCUCCGAUCACUGUAGCUAAAAGAACACUAAUGGCGAAGCGACACGUGUUCAGUUUUGCUGAACUUUUUUUUAAUUUUUUUUUUCUUUGGCCGUUGUAAUACUACGUCGUUUUUCAGUUGAGGUUUCUUUCUCAUCCUCUCUCAUCAACCCUAGAUCUUUCUUGCGUGUGUUCUAUCCCUCUACCUGCUCUGUCGUACAACCCAUAUCCUUCUGAUUUCGAUUUCCCUCUCUCACAACCUUACUUUCCUCCACAUCAAUCUCAAAUCCAGCUGUGUUUCCGUGUUAUCCUUCCCCUUUCCACCCACUUCUCACCAAUCCAUCAAAAUAGUCUCUUCCGAUUGAUAUGAUGAGCAAUUACUUUCGGCCGCCGCACGAUGUGUGUUUGAAGCUAAUGUCGCCACCGAUUAUGGUAGAACCAAUUGUGUAUCGACAGCUCAGACGGUCCACUGUUCAUUUGUCAUCCUUCAUCACGAGAACCCCAACUGCUAUGGUUGAAUGCAUCUGCAAAGGUUGAAUCCUUUAGCAAAUGAUGAGCUUGAAACCAUGAUAGAGAAGCAUGGAAGAUCAGACCAAGGUUUAUUAGGAAGUGGGAGAUGGCACCUACUGCUAAACCUUCUAAAUUUGCAACUUGUCUUGAUUGAUGCUAAGGUAUUUUGCAAAUGCUAUGACUUCAGUUCAUGAAAUGGAAAAUGGUUUCAAUCUAAAGAGGACCUUGCCAGCGCAGGAGCAACAAAGAGGCAUACUUGCUGUGUUUUGGUGCUGACCAAGCCUGCAAAGGGUGAAAUGGAACAAGAGGAACAAGAAAAACUGGCAUUUUCAGAGUUUAAGAUCCUUUUCACUGGAAGAAGAUGCAGAUGUUGAGUAGUCUACUAAGCAACUAAGCUUAUCCACGUUGAAGAUUGUGCUAUAGACAUCAUCUCUCUUAAGUGUAUUUUGUAUUAAUCUAUUAUUAUGUCUAUUUGUAAGUCGUUUUGAUGUAUGAAUUGGUCUAUGUCACUGUGCUCCUAACACUAUCCAUAUAUCAGAUGGCUUUCAUGCUCCUUCAUCAUCAUCUUUGUGAUUUAUUACUCUUUUAGCUAUGGAUUAUGGUGAUAGAUAUGAGCUCCUGUUGUUAUAAGUUGUAAGUUAUGUUCUUCCUGCUGGUCUAAAUAGCUGGGUUUAGAAAUCUGCUCUCAAAUGUUGGGGUGUCAUAUGCAUGUUCAAUGUUUAAGAGGGGUGGGCUUCACUGCUUAUUCUUCUUUUGCAUUAUUUCUAAUUUUUCACUGUAUUUGAUUUUUUAUAGGCUACUUAGUUAAGCGAUUUUCUCCUUCAUUUCCCUCUUUUAUUCUUCUUCUAGGUUAUUUUUUUUUAGACUGUUAAAUAUGUUGUGAAGUAUGUUUCUUAUUCCAUAUUAAGAAGUUAGGUAUUUAUUCACCUAUUUCUUAUCAGUACCUAAUCUAAUAUGACUUUGGUUUAAGAUUUGCUGCCACUGUUAUUACUUCAUCUUUUAUUUCAACUUAGUAUGCCGUAAAAAAAGGUGAAUGAGUGAUACUCAUGUCUUUUAUGGCUGGACCUAUGAAUGGAUAUGGAGUUUCCUCAUUGUGGUAUGUUUUUCCUCUCUUUUAAUUUCGUUUUGGAUAGAGAGUUCUAUCAUGAGUUAUAUCUUAUGGAUUUUGUUUACAAAACUUUCUUCACUAAUUGAUUCUUGAUGUGGACCUUAUAGUUCUGUCAUCCUCUUCAGGCUAAGAUUGGUAGGGGAGAUUUUUGUUAUACUUUUGCCUAUACUCCUUAAUACCCAAUUCUAAUAUGACUUUGGUGGAUAGCUCCUUAUUGAAGAGGUUUAACUUUUACAUGUAAAUCCUUUUAAAAGAGUGGAUUCCUUAUAAGUGGUUAUGUUGUUUCAUACUGCAAAUUUUCUUAGGCUGAUCUAGGAAUGAAUUUUUUUACUUCUUCAAGUACUCAUUAAGAUCCUAACUAUUGUUUCCUGAUACUGGAUAGAGUGGUUGUCAAAUAUAAUUUAAUUUUUGUUUUGACUUUCACUCUUCCUAAGUUUAAUUUUGUGAUGACAGUCCUCUACUCAUGUUAUCAUGUGGCUAUAUAUUGACAUAUUAUUAGCAAGUUGCUGAACAUACACAGUACACACUCUUUUUAUAUGAUCAAUUAGUACAUUUCACCUCUUAACAGAGGAGAAGUGAAGGGGGUUUAUUGGAAACAAAAAUCUACAUAACUAAGUUUAACAUGGGCCUUCCCCUUCCAUCUGCCCCUCAUUUUUUAUCAUAAACAUGCAUAAAAGCAUCUCAUCCAUUCUAUAUAAACUAUUCAUCAGGUGGUUCACAAGGAGUUUGGUAUACUUGAAGGUUUGAUGACAACAGUCCAUGCAACUACAUGUCUCUUAUGAACUUUUGCUAAUUAUAUAGCCUUUGAUUUCUUUCUCUUUUGCAUUAAUAAACCAUAACAUUAUAUCCUAACAAAUGCCAUUAGUAACAUCUCAUUGUUUUUCUCUUUCAUCAGCAACACUAAAGACUGUAGAUGGUCCUUCAAUGAAGGAUAGGCGAGGGAGAAGAGGGGCAACUUAAAAUAUAAUCCCAAGUUCUACUGGUGUUGCAAAGGUAGGAGAUGGAUGACCCCAAACAGAUUUUGUGAUUCUAUUUUAAGUAUAGAUUUGUGAAAUUUGUGCUUUGUGAAAUCACAAGCUGUUGGAAAAGUUCUUCCUGAGCUAAAUGAAAUUUACAGCAAGGUGGUGCAUAAAUGGAUGGACAUUAACUAUGUACAGAACCUUCUCUAAGCCUCAAUGCGCAAGAGGUUUUAGGUAAGUUUACUUCUUUUUCUUUCUUCCCCUCCCCCCCUCCCCCCCCCACUGUUAAUGUCUAUCUGCAUAAACUAUUUUGCUUAGAUUUAUGAUGGUGAUUAGAAAGAACUUCAGACCAAACGGAAUUUAAAAAAAAAAUCAUCAUGGUGGUUUAGAAUUUGCUUCUCUCAUUCCCUCAAUGCUUAGCUUAUUUCUAGAUGCAGAUAAUUAGAUUAUCUUAGUAUGAAGAAUAAAAUUACAAGAAUAAAUUGCUGGUGUGAGGAAAUUUCAUUUGAUAUUUGGAUUAGAAAUCAAAGUUAGCAACUCAAUUCAUAGUGUGCUACCUUCUCACUUCAUCAUAUAUAUACACACCUUAAAAUAUGUUCAUUAGUUUGCUCAGCAAGGUUGGGCGAAAUAUACAAUUUAGAAGCCUAUAAGUUGGCAAGACUGGCCUACUGACUAAUGCAGGGUUGGAGGAAAAACUUAAACAAAUUGAGGCUGAGUUGGUGCUGAUGAGAGGAGAGAGAGAGAGAACCCUGGUCCAUGGGUAAGCCCAAAGUGAGUGUGGUGAUUUAAGAGUUCAGAUUGAGGUUUUCUUCAUCAACUAAACCAGUCUCUGUCAAGAAGAGAUGAGCAAAGACAAUUCUAAUAUUGAUACUCAGAUACAUGAGCCCAGUCGUGAGCUGGCAGAGCAUGCUAGAGAAGCUAUUAACUUGAUUGCCACAGUUGAGAAUCCUCCUAAGCACACAAAUUAAAAGUGGUGUCUUCAUGGUGGAAAUUACAUGAUCAUGUUUGAUUUUGAUACACAAUUAAAACUUUCUUUAAGAUUUGAUUUUCUGGACAGCUGAUGUGAGCAAGCAAUUGAAGCAACUGGGGAAUGGCAAAGAUUGAAACAUGUAGGCUACACAACAAAAAGGUGUAAAGAGGCAAUAUAGCCAAUAAAUAUCAAUCUCAACAACUCAAUGUUGUAUAUUAGUGUUUUGAUUGUGUAACUUGAUAGUUAAAAUUCUUUGUAUUCUGUCUUAUCCCACGAGUAUUUGGCAAUCUUAAAUAUGGGUCUCCUGCUUACAAUGUUUGACAUCACCAAUUCACAAAGUUUGAAUUAUUAAUUUAAUAAGGAAUGAUCCUGCUCGAUUUUGUUAAUAA